rnacentral:tRNA from 1 species
GCGGGGGUGGCCGAGUCAGGUCAAAGGCGGCAGGUUCAGGACCUGCUGGCGUAGGCCUGCGUGGGUUCGAAUCCCACCCCCCGCACCA